rnacentral:lncRNA from 1 species
GGCGGUUAGUUUUUGUCUCUCAUUUGGAUUGUUUUCAUUCACUUUGACAUGUCGGGACACUGGGUAGCUUGUUAUGUUGUAUGGGUUUCAAUCAUUGCUAAAUGUCGUAGUGACCUACAUAUAGUUGUUUACUUUUUUGGUAUUUGGACUCUGGUGGAAAGUUGUCUCAUUGGUAAUCAUACUAAAUCUUUUUAUUUCAAUUUUGUAUUUCCUUUAUUGUGUUAAAACAACACAGACUACAAAGAUGGGACCAAGUUGUCUCAUUGGCAGUCGUACCACAC